rnacentral:sRNA from 1 species
UUUGCGCCAGGGAUAGCAGCGGCAUCCUCUUUAUCGUGCUUUUCAAAACGAUGAAGAGAUAUAGCGAAUAGCCCGAUCUCUA